AUUUGACCCUCUGCAGGAGGUGUGCUGAAUGUCCCAUUCCCCGGUGCUGCCAGCUCCUCAGAGCUCUGUAGGUUACCCCGUGAGACCUUCUCCCUGCACGCCUUUUUUUCUCUAAUAGAAAUACCUGCUACCUGUUGCCUUCUUCCCUGCAGGAUCACAAGCGCUUGCCCAGUGCCUGGCAUAGAGGCGGCCAUAGCUGGACUCCUACCCUGUUCCAGAUGAGGAAACUGCCGCUCAGAGACGGCAGCCGACCCAGCCAAGGCCGCACAGCCAGGAUUCAAAGCCAUACCGCUCAGCUCCUGCCUCCAGGCUCUGCCUUUGCAUGUGGCUUCUCCUGGCUCCUGGACCCUUCCCCGGCCCUCCCAGCUGGCUGUGCUGUGACAGUGGGCGGGGGAGUGCCAAGGCUCUGCCCUGCCCCCCGCCCUUGGCAUCUCCGGUCAAUAUGGCACUCACAGCUCCCUGGGCAUGGACCCCCUCCUGCCAUCCCCACUUAAAGUGAU
rnacentral:lncRNA from 10 species